rnacentral:rRNA from 1 species
AUUGAACGCUGGCGGCAGGCCUAACACAUGCAAGUCGAGCGGAUGAAGGGAGCUUGCUCCUGGAUUCAGCGGCGGACGGGUGAGUAAUGCCUAGGAAUCUGCCUGGUAGUGGGGGAUAACGUCCGGAAACGGGCGCUAAUACCGCAUACGUCCUGAGGGAGAAAGUGGGGGAUCUUCGGACCUCACGCUACCAGAUGAGCCUAGGUCGGAUUAGCUAGUUGGUGGGGUAAAGGCCUACCAAGGCGACGAUCCGUAACUGGUCUGAGAGGACGAUCAGUCACACUGGAACUGAGACACGGUCCAGACUCCUACGGGAGGCAGCAGUGGGGAAUAUUGGACAAUGGGCGAAAGCCUGAUCCAGCCAUGCCGCGUGUGUGAAGAAGGUCUUCGGAUUGUAAAGCACUUUAAGUUGGGAGGAAGGGCAGUAAGUUAAUACCUUGCUGUUUUGACGUUACCAACAGAAUAAGCACCGGCUAACUUCGUG